rnacentral:rRNA from 1 species
GCAUUUUCCUCGCAUGAGGGAGAUGAGAAAGGCGGAGCAAUCUGCCACUUAUGGAUGGACCUGCGGCGCAUUAGCUAGUUGGUAAGGUAACGGCUUACCAAGGCGACGAUGCGUAGCCGACCUGAGAGGGUGAUCGGCCACACUGGGACUGAGACACGGCCCAGACUCCUACGGGAGGCAGCAGUAGGGAAUCUUCCGCAAUGGACGAAAGUCUGACGGAGCAACGCCGCGUGAGUGAUGAAGGUUUUCGGAUCGUAAAGCUCUGUUGCCAGGGAAGAACGCCUAGGAGAGUAACUGCUCCUAGGGUGACGGUACCUGAGAAGAAAGCCCCGGCUAACUACGUGCCAGCAGCCGCGGUAAUACGUAGGGGGCGAGCGUUGUCCGGAAUUAUUGGGCGUAAAGCGCGCGCAGGCGGCAAUGUAAGUUGGGUGUUUAAACCUAGGGCUCAACCUUGGGUCGCAUCCAAAACUGCAUAGCUUGAGUACAGAAGAGGAAAGUGGAAUUCCACGUGUAGCGGUGAAAUGCGUAGAGAUGUGGAGGAACACCAGUGGCGAAGGCGACUUUCUGGGCUGUAACUGACGCU